AUUGAACGCUGGCGGCAGGCCUAACACAUGCAAGUCGAGCGGAUGAAGGGAGCUUGCUCCUGGAUUCAGCGGCGGACGGGUGAGUAAUGCCUAGGAAUCUGCCUGGUAGUGGGGGAUAACGUCCGGAAACGGGCGCUAAUACCGCAUACGUCCUGAGGGAGAAAGUGGGGGAUCUUCGGACCUCACGCUAUCAGAUGAGCCUAGGUCGGAUUAGCUAGUUGGUGGGGUAAAGGCCUACCAAGGCGACGAUCCGUAACUGGUCUGAGAGGAUGAUCAGUCACACUGGAACUGGGACACGGUCCAGACUCCUACGGGAGGCAGCAGUGGGGAAUAUUGGACAAUGGGCGAAAGCCUGAUCCAGCCAUGCCGCGUGUGUGAAGAAGGUCUUCGGAUUGUAAAGCACUUUAAGUUGGGAGGAAGGGCAGUAAGUUAAUACCUUGCUGUUGUGACGGUACCAACAGAAUAAGCACCGGCUAACUUCGUG
rnacentral:rRNA from 1 species